UAUCUUAAUAGCUUAUUAGAGUGUAAUAUUGAAGAUAUUGAGGAGGUUGUUACCUUAGGAUAU
rnacentral:tRNA from 2 species